rnacentral:SRP_RNA from 1 species
GGCGGAAACCCGUGAACCCCGCCAGAUCCGGAAGGAAGCAACGGUAAGCGCCAGUUUCCGGGUGAUGUGGAGGCGCCUGUCCCG